UACGUAGGGGGCAAGCGUUGUCCGGAUUUAUUGGGCGUAAAGAGCGUGUAGGCGGCUGGGUAGGUCCGCUGUGAAAACUCGAGGCUCAACCUCGAGACGUCGGCGGAAACCAUCCAGCUAGAGUCCGGAAGAGGAGAGUGGAAUUCCUGGUGUAGCGGUGAAAUGCGCAGAUAUCAGGAAGAACACCCGUGGCGAAAGCGGCUCUCUGGGACGGUACUGACGCUGAGACGCGAAAGCGUGGGGAGCAAACAGG
rnacentral:rRNA from 1 species